UACGGGGGGGGCAAGCGUUGUUCGGAAUUACUGGGCGUAAAGGGCGUGUAGGUGGCCAACUAAGUCCGACGUGAAAUCCCCAGGCUUAACCUGGGAACUGCGUCGGAUACUGGAUGGCUUGAAUUCGGGAGAGGGAUGCAGAAUUCCAGGUGUAGCGGUGAAAUGCGUAGAUAUCUGGAGGAACACCGGUGGCGAAGGCGGGUCUCUGGGCCGAUACUGACGCUGAGGAGCGAAAGCGUGGGGAGCGAACAGG
rnacentral:rRNA from 1 species